rnacentral:rRNA from 1 species
AUUGAACGCUGGCGGCAGGCCUAACACAUGCAAGUCGAACGGUAACAGGAAGAAGCUUGCUUCUUUGCUGACGAGUGGCGGACGGGUGAGUAAUGUCUGGGAAACUGCCUGAUGGAGGGGGAUAACUACUGGAAACGGCAGCUAAUACCGCAUAACGUCGCAAGACCAAAGAGGGGGACCUUCGGGCCUCUUGCCAUCGGAUGUGCCCAGAUGGGAUUAGCUAGUAGGUGGGGUAACGGCUCACCUAGGCGACGAUCCCUAGCUGGUCUGAGAGGAUGACCAGCCACACUGGAACUGAGACACGGUCCAGACUCCUACGGGAGGCAGCAGUGGGGAAUAUUGCACAAUGGGCGCAAGCCUGAUGCAGCCAUGCCGCGUGUAUGAAGAAGGCCUUCGGGUUGUAAAGUACUUUCAGCGGGGAGGAAGGGAGUAAAGUUAAUACCUUUACUCAUUGACGUUACCCGCAGAAGAAGCACCGGCUAACUCCGUG